rnacentral:tRNA from 1 species
CAUUAUGAAGCUAGCUUAGCGUUAACCUUUUAAGUUAAAGACUAGGAGUCAAACCUCCUCAUAAUGAG